rnacentral:rRNA from 1 species
AACGAACGCUGGCGGCAUGCCUAACACAUGCAAGUCGAACGAGACCUUCGGGUCUAGUGGCGCACGGGUGCGUAACGCGUGGGAACCUGCCCUUAGGUUCGGAAUAACUCCCCGAAAGGGGUGCUAAUACCGGAUAAUGUCUUCGGACCAAAGAUUUAUCGCCUUUGGAUGGGCCCGCGUUGGAUUAGCUAGUUGGUAGGGUAAAAGCCUACCAAGGCGACGAUCCAUAGCUGGUCUGAGAGGAUGAUCGGCCACACUGGGACUGAGACACGGCCCAGACUCCUGCGGGAGGCGGCAGUGGGGAAUGUUGGGCGGUGGGCGGAGGGCUGAGCCAGCGGGGCCGGGGGGGUGAGGGGGGCCUUAGGGUUGUGAGGCUGUGCUGGCCGGGGUGAUAAUGACAGUACCGGGAGAAUAAGCUCCGGCUAACUCCGUG